rnacentral:rRNA from 1 species
CCAAUAGCGUAUAUUAAAGUUGUUGCAGUUAAAAAGCUCGUAGUUGAAUUUCGGGAUCAAUAUGCCGGUCAUGCCUUGGUAUGCACUGGUAUCUUUGAUUUCUCCCUUCUGACGAACUUUGAUGUCAUUAAUUUGGUGUCAUAGGGAAUUAGGACUGUUACUUUGAAAAAAUUAGAGUGUUUAAAGCAAGCUCACGCUUG